rnacentral:rRNA from 1 species
CAGUAGCCGCGGUAAUACAGAGGGUGCAAGCGUUAAUCGGAAUUACUGGGCGUAAAGCGCGCGUAGGUGGUUCGCCAAGUUGGAUGUGAAAUCCCCGGGCUCAACCUGGGAACUGCAUCCAAAACUGGCAAGCUAGAGUACGGUAGAGGGUGGUGGAAUUUCCUGUGUAGCGGUGAAAUGCGUAGAUAUAGGAAGGAACACCAGUGGCGAAGGCGACCACCUGGACUGAUACUGACACUGAGGUGCGAAAGCGUGGGGAGCAAACAGGAUUAGAUACCCCGGUAGUCCCUGUCUCUUAUAC